CCUACGGGAGGCAGCAGUAGGGAAUCUAACACUAUUAACGCAAGUCUGAUGGAGCAACGCCGCGUGAGUGAAGAAGGUCUUCGGAUCGUAAAACUCUGUUGUUAGAGAAGAACACGAGUGAGAGUAACUGUUCAUUCGAUGACGGUAUCUAACCAGCAAGUCACGGCUAACUACGUGCCAGCAGCCGCGGUAAU
rnacentral:rRNA from 1 species